CCUACGGGAGGCAGCAGUGGGGAAUAUUGGGCAAUGGGCGCAAGCCUGACCCAGCAACGCCGCGUGAAGGAAGAAGGCUCUCGGGUUGUAAACUUCCUUUCUGAGGGACGAAGAAAGUGACGGUACCUCUGGAAUAAGCCACGGCCAACUACGUGCCAGCAGCCGCGGUAAUACGUAGGUGGCAAGCGUUAUCCGGAUUUAUUGGGUGUAAAGGGCGUGUAGGCGGGAAAGCAAGUCAGAUGUGAAAAGUCAGGGCUCAACCCUGGGCCUGCAUUGGAAACUGUUUUUCUUGAGUGCUGGGGAGGCAAUCGGAAUUCGGUGUGUAGCGGUGAAAUGCGUAGAUAUACGGAGGAACACCGGUGGCGAAGGCAGAUUGCUGGACAGUAACUGACGCUGAGGCGCGAAGGCGUGGGGAGCGAACAGGAUUAGAUACCCGUGUAGUC
rnacentral:rRNA from 1 species